rnacentral:misc_RNA from 1 species
GAUGAAGAACGUAGCGAAAUGCGAUAAGUAAUGUGAAUUGCAGAAUUCCGUGAAUCAUCGAGUCUUUGAACGCACAUUGCGCCCCCUGGCAUUCCGGGGGGCAUGCCUGUCCGAGCGUCAUUGCUGCCCUUCAAGCCCGGCUUGUGUGUUGGGUCGUCGUCCCCCCCGGGGGACGGGCCCGAAAGGCAGCGGCGGCACCGCGUCCGGUCCUCGAGCGUAUGGGGCUUUGUCACCCGCUCGAUUAGGGCCGGCCGGGCGCCAGCCGGCGUCUCCAACCUUCUAUUUUACCAGGUUGACCUCGGAUCAGGUAGGGAUACCCGCUGAACUUAAGCAUAUCAAUAAGCGGAGGA